rnacentral:rRNA from 1 species
UCGAUGAAGAACGCAGCUAGCUGCGAUAAAUAGUGCGAAUUGCAGACGCAUUGAGCACAAAGAUUUCGAACGCACAUUGCGCCAUCGGGUGUUGAUUCCCGAUGGCACGUCUGGCUGAGGGUC